GACCUCACUAUUUGAUCCAAUCGUAGUGGUAGUGGUAUGAGUAAUUAGGUUUUAUCCAACCGUACUGUUGUAGAAUUGAGUAUCCAUUACUGAGUAGAAUCCUUUAAAAAGUAUUGGGGUUCCAUAUGUUUGGUUGUGUUAAAACUUUUGCACUUGGUGGAGAAACUGAAAAAAGUGGAGAGAACUUAAAAACUCCUUGGUGUUUUAUUUUUAUCCCAGUUUGCUUCCUUUUUAUAUGCCAUCUUUAUGAUGCUUUCCCUCCAAACUACUAUCACACUUCAAACGCCAACAAACUUAUUUUGCCUUGCAGGAAAAGGCAUGAAAAAUCUGCUUUGCCUGGUGGUCAUCUAGAGAAAGUAGCAGCGUAAUGCCCUCCCAAGUAAUUGAUGACACAUGGCAGCAAAAGGGGUGUAAGGUGACAGGUGACACGUGGCAAGGCAGCAGAGAUAGUGAUGUUAGCAUGAGAAAUGAAGGAGGAAGCAGUGGUUAUGGGCAGUUUAGGCAUAGAGAAUGGAAGGCCAAAUGAUAUAUGGCUAAAAAAUGGGGGACAUGGUUUCCCAUGACUCGCAGAGUGGCUACAAAGCAGGAAAGCAUGAGGAUGAGGAUGAGCCUGAGGCUGAAGGGACUAUAAAAGGCAGUCGAAGGCAAGAGCAGAGGCAUAUCAACACACAACACAUCAAACUAGCAUAAGUAGUUUUAGGAAUAGAUUAUAUUAGUAGUUUUAGCCUUGUAAUUUUCAGUUCAUGCUUGUAAACUUUGAAGUUGUAAUUGAAAUUGUCCUUUGUUUACUUUUGUUCUGUCAUUGUUCCAAAGAUUUCCUUGUAUGUUUCAAGGCAUUGAACCUCAACAUGAUUGCCUGAUUUCUUUU